UGAGCUUGAUCCUGGCUCAGGAUGAACGCUAGCGGCAGGCUUAACACAUGCAAGUCGAGGGGUAGAGUUCUUCGGAGCUUGAGACCGGCGCACGGGUGCGUAACGCGUAUGCAAUCUACCUUUUACAGAGGGAUAGCCCAGAGAAAUUUGGAUUAAUACCUCAUAGUAUAAUGACUCGGCAUCGAGAUAUUAUUAAAGUCACAACGGUAAAAGAUGAGCAUGCGUCCCAUUAGCUAGUUGGUAAGGUAACGGCUUACCAAGGCAACGAUGGGUAGGGGUCCUGAGAGGGAGAUCCCCCACACUGGUACUGAGACACGGACCAGACUCCUACGGGAGGCAGCAGUGAGGAAUAUUGGACAAUGGGCGCAAGCCUGAUCCAGCCAUGCCGCGUGCAGGAUGACGGUCCUAUGGAUUGUAAACUGCUUUUGUACAGGAAGAAACACUGGUUCGUGAACCAGCUUGACGGACUGAAGAAUAAGG
rnacentral:rRNA from 1 species